UACGAAGGGAGCUAGCGUUGUUCGGAAUCACUGGGCGUAAAGCGCACGUAGGCGGAUGUGUCAGUCAGGGGUGAAAUCCCGGAGCUCAACUUCGGAACUGCCUUUGAUACAGCACAUCUGGAGUCCGGAAGAGGUGGGUGGAAUUCCUAGUGUAGAGGUGAAAUUCGUAGAUAUUAGGAAGAACACCGGUGGUGAAGACGGUCUCCUGGGCCGAGGGCCGACGCUGAUGCGCGAGAGCGUGGGGAGCGAACCGG
rnacentral:rRNA from 1 species